CAGCCAUGAGCUCAGCUUCAC
rnacentral:siRNA from 1 species